UCCAGCUUGCUGGAGUGGAUGAGUGGCGAACGGGUGAGUAACACGUGAGUAACCUUCCCUUGACUCUGGGAUAAGCCCGGGAAACUGGGUCUAAUACCGGAUAUGACCUCCUAUCGCAUGGUGGGGGGUGGAAAGAUUUAUCGGUCUUGGAUGGACUCGCGGCCUAUCAGCUUGUUGGUGAGGUAAUGGCUCACCAAGGCGACGACGGGUAGCCGGCCUGAGAGGGUGACCGGCCACACUGGGACUGAGACACGGCCCAGACUCCUACGGGAGGCAGCAGUGGGGAAUAUUGCACAAUGGGCGCAAGCCUGAUGCAGCGACGCCGCGUGAGGGAUGACGGCCUUCGGGUUGUAAACCUCUUUCAGUAGGGAAGAAGCCUUCGGGUGACGGUACCUGCAGAAGAAGCGCCGGCUAACUACGUGCCAGCAGCCGCGGUAAUACGUAGGGCGCGAGCGUUAUCCGGAAUUAUUGGGCGUAAAGAGCUCGUAGGCGGUUUGUCGCGUCUGCCGUGAAAGUCCGGGGCUUAACCCCGGAUCUGCGGUGGGUACGGGCAGACUAGAGUGCAGUAGGGGAGACCGGAAUUCCUGGUGUAGCGGUGAAAUGCGCAGAUAUCAGGAGGAACACCGAUGGCGAAGGCAGGUCUCUGGGCUGUUACUGACGCUGAGGAGCGAAAGCAUGGGGAGCGAACAGGAUUAGAUACCCUGGUAGUCCAUGCCGUAAACGUUGGGCACUAGGUGUGGGGGACAUUCCACGUUUUCCGCGCCGCAGCUAACGCAUUAAGUGCCCCGCCUGGGGAGUACGGCCGC
rnacentral:rRNA from 1 species